GUCCUCGUAGUUAAAUGGAUAUAACCCGGACCUCCUAAGUCUGUAUUGCAGGUUCGAUUCCUGCCGAGGACGCCA
rnacentral:tRNA from 1 species